UACUCUGAUAGCGUAAUCCUCUGAUUUCUCCUUCUGGAGGACAGAUUAGAACAUGGCUUGAACUUACAUGACAGGUGAUUGACAUCUCUGCGUAAGCAGAACUUAGCAAUACUUUACUUCUAUUCUGCC